ACACGGAUGAUGCUGCAGGGGAGAGUGCCAAGGGCGAGGAAAAUGCGAAGGACGGUGGUGGAGGUAGCAACUCGAUGGCCAACAGCACAGUGACGGGUGGUGGAGACCACAAGGGGAAGAAGAAGGGCCUCCCUGCAAAGAACCUGAUGGCGGAGAGAAGGAGAAGGAAGAAGCUCAAUGAUCGGCUUUACAUGCUUAGAUCUGUUGUCCCCAAGAUCAGCAAGGUGAAAAAUCUCACACCCGUCAGCUCUUGGUUACUGCCAUAAAGUUUCUUAAAGUUUCCUUAAUCUUUUAGGUUAUUCAGCUGCAUGUCUCCUGUAAACCAAUUUGUAAGAAGCAAAAUUUGAAGUUCUCGACUUUUAGUUGUUUGUUGCUCCUCAUGUUCUUGCAGUGUUUGCUUGGNNNNNNNNNNNNNNNNNNNNGAACGAGAGAAGAGGAAUGGGAAUGAGGACGACGAGAUAGACGAUGGAAGCAUGGACGCAUCAGGAUUGAAUUACGACACGGAUGAUGCUGCAGGGGAGAGUGCCAAGGGCGAGGAAAAUGCGAAGGACGGUGGUGGAGGUAGCAACUCGAUGGCCAACAGCACAGUGACGGGUGGUGGAGACCACAAGGGGAAGAAGAAGGGCCUCCCUGCAAAGAACCUGAUGGCGGAGAGAAGGAGAAGGAAGAAGCUCAAUGAUCGGCUUUACAUGCUUAGAUCUGUUGUCCCCAAGAUCAGCAAG
rnacentral:lncRNA from 1 species